CCUCCAGCCAGCAUAAUUUUGUCCUGCAGGCUUGGCAGGGAGGAGGAGGAAUGCCUCCUGGCUUUAUCAAACCAAAUUGCACUGAUCUGCUCUGACAAGGUCUGGGCACCUUCCUUGGAAGAAAUGAAGCCUGGGAGAAACUACAGAGGAAGAAGGCAACAGGAGUUAAGAAGGGGAGAGCAGAUGGACCAGCCCCCAUGUACUCCUCUAGUUAGGGCAGCAACAGGACUUUGGUCACAAGUAGCAGAACAGUAAGACAUUAGAAGCCUGUCUCCAGUGCUGAGGUGUUUUUCCCUGGGUAACAAGUGUGUGAUUAUUUCUUUAUUUUACUUUUAGCAUGUUUUCCAUGUUUCUAGUAAAACCUCUUGGCAACGGAA